UAGCACAUACAGUAAUAACUGAAUGUACUGUUAAAACAAUAGCAAUUUACUAAUGUGUACAGCCAGCGCGGCACCAUACCGCACAAGUGCACUCUUGACUAGGUUGAUCACAACGCGCGACAGGCAAGAACCAGCUAGCUUGUCAGUUCAAGGCCUGGAAAAUGGCUGCAGGAUCUGGCGCGUCAAGCGGCCACGGUCGUGGUUCGCCUGCGGCCCUAGAGUCAACUUUGGAUCGACGGUUUCAAGGAGUGUCGAACACAAUGGAAUCAAUUCAAGGACUAUCAAAUUGGUGUAUCGAGAACAAGAAAUACCACAGUCUUAUCGUGCGUUACUGGAUGAAAUGGUUGAGGAAAUCUGAGGCUUCUCACCGUCUCAAUUUGUUCUACCUCGCCAAUGAUGUCAUUCAGAACUGUAAGAGGAAAAAUGCCAUUGUCUACCGUACUGCUUUCGCCGACGUGCUCCCUGAGGCCUUCCAGCUGGUCAAUAAUGUGGGAGACUCUAAGGUGAUGAAGUCAGUGGACAGGAUAUUAUCCAUCUGGGAGGAGAGGAGUGUGUACACAGAGGAGCUCAUAGCUGAGCUGAGGGCCAGUCUGGUCAAAGAGGUGUCACCUGCUGCUUUAGAAACACCUAAAGCUCCAGUCAACUCUAAAGCUGCUCUUCAAUCUAAGAUUGUAGCUGAAUUUGUCCCCCAGGAAUUCAUCGAUCAUCUUUCUAAGUACCACAGCUCUGUGGAGGAAGUGGAGCUAAAGGAGAAACAGCUGGCAGCCAUGAGGGUGGACGUCUGCAGCAGCAAGGACCUCAAGAGACUGAAAGAUAAGGCAGGGGGGAAGAGGCACUCCAAGGACUUUGAGGAUGGCAGUGCGAAGCUAAAGGAGUUUGUGGCCUUCCUUGACCGGCAGAUCAAAGGAGGGUCCCCUCUGUUGAAUGCUCUUGGCAACGCAGACAUUUUCUACGAGAUGCAGUAUAAGGAGGUCAAGAUAGUCGCCAAUGCGUACAAGACGUUUGCCAACCGGGUGUCCCACCUCAAGCGUAAGCUGGACAGCCUCAAGGCCACCUUACCAGACCUGGACGAGUCGCCCCUCCCCUCGCCCUCGAUGGAUGCCCCGUCCCCCAAUGGCUCAGAGUCCCCCUUCCGUGGCCUGGCCGACCCAGAAUCUGACUUGGAUGGCCUGGCCAUGGAUGAUGAGGCGGAAAUCACUCUGGGGGAAGCACCCAGCCCCCUGUCCUCCCCUGGUGGCUCCCCAAAGCAGGGCUUCACUGUCGGGGAGUUAGACAACCGCGACGUGGAGGACAUGGAGCUCUCGGAUGAGGAGGAGGCAGAGAGCGUCGGUAUCAUAGUUGAGGAGCGAGUUGAAAGUCCCGUCCCAUCUCCAGACCCCAUUCCUGUGCCUGUUGUCACACAGCUGCCGCUGGCCACAGAGGCAAAGCCUGUCCCACAGGCCACACCCUCCCCAGCUGUCAUGAUCCCAGUGACCCCUACAACCAACCUAUCAGGCAACCUCGCCAAUGUAGACCUGGGUAAAAUUAGCUCUAUCCUCAGCAGCAUCACCUCUGUCAUGAAGAAACCAGGAGUGAGUCCAGGUGCUUCUUUGGUCUGCCCCUCCUCUCCAGCCAAGACCACCCCUCCUGCCCCAGUAGCCCCCCAGGUAGCCAGCCCUCUGGCCAGCGUCCUGUCCAGAGUGGACAUGACUCCCAAGGCGCUCCUCAGUGCACUGUCCAAAACCCAGGAGCAGGCCAGCGGGCGACAUGUUCUCUCCACUCUUGUGAACAGCCCAACGGGAAACCUCUCCUCAUACUCCCCCAGUACAGACAAGCUCCCUCCCUCCGCCUCCACCCCUACAGUACCCUCUCGAGGCCUUCCUCUCACCUCCUCUACGCUCCAACCAACCCCAUCAGCCCCUACAGUGGGGAAUACCACCACCGUCCUUCAGGCAGCGUCCCUUACCCAGCCCACACAGCCUCUAGACAUCGGCCCUCACAGAGGGCUGGUCCUUGAGCAAGGGAAGGAAGAAAAGCCCUCUGCUUCCAGCCUGGAGUCCAAGAUCCACAGCUUCCUGCAGGUUAACCCUGGCUUUAAUGCCUUUAACCUGGGCUUGACUAGCGAGACCAUGCAAGCGGGAGGCAGCGACAUCAGCCCCUUAGCGGGUACAGAGACCCAAGUGGGCACCCCGGUGCGGGAUGAGGCCGGAGGAGGCACCCCCACCCUGGAUGAGUUCUUGGACACUCCAGGAGGAGCAGAGCCCUUCCUGGCCAAGCAAGGCCAGGUCUCUUCUGGGGGAGUUCCUAAACAACCAGAUGGCAGCCUGUCUCAGUCUCCAACUGCCUACCACAACCAAGCCUGGCAGGAUCCCAACAACCCUCAUGUCCACUUAGGACCACAACCAGGUGCUCCGAAUGGGCAGGGGUACCACCAGUUGCCUUAUGGAGGGAAGGAAGAGAUGCAUGGAAUAGGUCCUUCCCUCAGAGAGUCUGGGUUGGCCCAUUACCAGCCCAUCACGACACAGGUGUCAGCCCCAACCCUCGGGGAGGGGUUACCCAGUAACACACCAGGAGGGGCUCAGGCAGGGCCAAACCCCAGUGUGAGUGAAGGAGGAUGGUAUGGUCAUCCCUACCCAGAGGGACAGGCCCUGCAUCCUAACAACCACAACAUGGCUGCAUCAGGGGCAGGAGAUGGCAAAACCCCCAUGUCAGGACGGUAUGCAUACCAGGGGGAGGGGCAGACGCAGCCCUACCAAACAAAGGAUCCUCAAACUCUGCUUUCCCAACAGGGGGCCAACCCCUUAAGCUUCCUCACCAGCCCUCUGCCCCCCAUUCCCCAGCUGCCUCCACCGCCCUUCCCUGGAAUACCAGCCCCACCUGCGUCUGUCAUUGUGCGAGGGGUGAUGGUGCCUGUGGCGCAACCCUCACCAAACCCUGAGAUGGAGGAUGACAGGGCGGGCGUCAGUGCAUUGGGCGGUCCAGUGAUUAUCAGUGAUCACCAGCACAAAUCUGCUUUCUACCCUGAGGGCCAACCCUAUCACCCAGAUGACCUUCAUCGCCAUGCCGAUGACCCCCGUCAUCACCCUGACGAUUUCCGUUGUCACCCCAACGAUCUACGCCGUCAGCCUGACGACCUGCAUCACCUUGACAACUUCCGUCAGCACCCCCACGACCUCCAUCGUCACCCAGACGAUCGCUAUUAUCACCCAGACGAUUUCCACCAUCUACCUGUAGACGAUCCUCAUUAUCCUUAUAGAGUCAGAGAGCGCCUCACUCCCCCCCUCUCUCCCUCAGAAGACCCUUACUACUAUAAUUACCCUCCACGCAGCCCUUCCCCUCCAUAUGGUCACAGACCCCCCCUUCACCCUCACAUGGACCUGCACCACCCUGACCACAUGCCCCUGCCUCCCCAUCCUCCACACCGUCCUCUCCACCAGCCACACCUGAGAGGCCUCCCGUGGGGUCCCCCACGCCCAACCCUCUGUGGCCCCAUGCUCAGGGGGAAACGGCCAGGGCCUCCUUUCGGGGGACACCUCAGAGGGGGACCAGGUGGUCCGUUCUUUCCCCCCAAAAGACCACACCUACCUCCGCGCUUCUGACUUGUCAACUGACUGGAGUGACAUCAAAUUACAGUGCUUAGGCUACCGGAAUGUCAUUGUGGCAGGGGGCGCGACACAUCGAGGGUAGAAGAGGAGGAGAGAUGAGUUGGGAAGAAGCAGAAGAAUUGAGGUGUACUUUUCUCUGCUCCCCUUCUUGGUUUAAGAGGCCUGAGAGGAAGAGGGGAAUAGAUGAGUACAAUUGGAGGAGGAGUAAAUUGGGAGGAUCUAAAGGAAUGGAGGAGAGGAUUAGUGAAGACAUGGAUCUGGAGAAAGAGGGAAUGGAGAGGUCGGCCUGAACAACGAAGACACAGCGGAAUAGAAGAAAAUAAGAGUAACCUGGAUGACUCAUGGUGACCUGUGCGAGGAGUGGGAAACCGCUGGCGUGAGUGACAUACAAUACAACAAGCUCCAAGGGCCAGUACAUCAAGAGCCAGACUAGUGCAACAUUUUGGGCCAGUCACUGAGGAGGAAGAAUCAGAGAAAAGGACCAGUGGAUUGGAAUCCACUCCAGUUUUAAACAUUGAUGAAGAAAUAGCAAUACUUCAUAGAGAAAUUAACAUCCUCCUAGCUGACUUAGAAGACCCUGAGUGUUCAAAUCCUGCUGUGCCUGGUGCAUCACACAGUUGGAGUGUGAGGAAGGAACUCUCACAGGAUAGGUGGAGGGAGUCCAGGCCUGAGAUUGUAGAUUCUCUGCUGGCUGCAGAGCAUGCUUCUCAGAAGAUCUGUCAGUCAUGCAAUGUGAAAAGGGCUAUUCUGCGAUGUAGAGACUGUCUGCCGAAACAGCUUUACUGCGAAGACUGCGAUUUCUCUACACAUGCAAAGUUCCCCCCUGCACAACAGACAGUCCAUGAUCGAGGGGUUCUACACGCCCCUUCCUCCAACUACAGCCAUAUCUCUCCACAGUGAUGGCAAAUAUGCACUUCAUGAACAGGGUUGCUACAAUGUCACAGUGCCUGUGCUGACCUGCACAACUUGUCUUAGCACCUGGACAGCAAACUUGGCAGAUCUGAUAAAGAAUGGGUACUGGCCUGCCACUGUCAACUGUGACACCAUAUACCAGGUAGAUCUGUUCGGCUCUUUUGAGGAGCUGAAAGUGUCAGCCCCAGGAAUGUCCCGUCUGGCGUUUAUGUGGAUUUUGGAGCAGCGAACUGACUUCUUUGGCAGGAACGGAAUGAUCUGUGGGGACACUUUUCAAAAAAGCUUCUUUGAGUGGACGUACUGCCGCUCUGAAAUUGAUCAGGUCUGUGAUAUACAGGACUUUGACUGCCCAGCCUGUUCACCCAGCAUGCUUGCAGUGGACGGGAACAAGAAGCUGUAUCGAUUCAGAAAAGGGGUUAUGGAAAAGGGGUAUGUGGAGCAUCCUAGUGGACAGCAGCUAAAGACUCGGCAAGGAAAACAAACGACAAACUUGAUGAAGAGGGAUUCGACGUUGCCGUCUGCCGCCACGGAAUACUUCUAAGGAGCCUCAACAUGAUGCGCGGAGAGAUAUUUGCGUGCAACACUGUUCUUGCAGAAGGAAUUGUCUGGCAGCAGGAACAUACAAUUCAUGUGUACGGAUGUGAUCUGCAAAUUUUGGCCAUACCCGACCAAAGUUGCCCAUCAUUGUCCAGAGCUCGCCACUCUUCUAGACAUGAAGCUACUUCUUUCCGUCAUGCAUGCAAAGGCACAUCGUUUGAAAUGUGAGAUUAAGUGGGGAGGACGGAAUCAGGAAGGAGCUGGCACAACUCUGGGGGAGGUAGUGGAACAAGGGAACAGCUUCAAUCUGUUCCAAGCAAAUGUCCAAAGGAGGAGUUCUAUUUGGCUUUUCUAGCAAGAACAGACAUGCUAACCAUCCAGGCCAUGGGGUGGAACAGAAGGAAGAAAAACAACUUGCACAGAGUAUUGUCCAGAAGAUACUUGAAGGGACAACAGCAAAAAUCCAGGAGGAGACCCAGACUCUCGAAAAGUUUAAGAGUGAUUUGGGUGUAGGUGAUGAGACUGUACAACUGGACAACGGCAGUUCAGCAAUGGGCUAAUACAGAGGAAACAAAUGAGAACACGGAUGGUCCCCUGGUACUACAGAGAAUAACUGAAGUCCUGUUUCUUAGCAUCAAACAAAGGAAACAGAACCUCUACAGUCAGACAGAUGGAUGCAAGAAAAGACUCUGCGCAGAAAGAUAUUGGAGGAAAAGGACAAAUUGACAGCUGCCAUAGAGGAGUACAACACCCUUGUACCAGAUUCAGCAAUACCAUCUGUAGAUGAGAUCCUUUCCGCAGACCUUCAUGCAUGGCCUUGGAAGCUGCAUGGACAAAGAAUUUACAGCUGACCUACUCACAAAGAAAAUGGCCUUUGACCGGGUGAUGCUCCUGAGACGGCUGAAGGAGGAAGAGUUAAUUGUCCUAAAGGAAGUCAAGCAGCACUGGGAAAGCCUAAAGAGGGAAUCGGAGAAUGUGCAAGACCUUGCUUCACAUGUGGCACUUGACUUAAGCAGGAAAAGUAGGGGAACUUUCAUUAAUAUGUACAAUUGAUGUUGGCACCCUGUUAUUGCUAUUGUAAUAAAGGAAUACUUCAUUAUAUUUACCCUACACAUUACGAUUGUUGGUGUUAGGCUGGCAAUUGAAUCAGUUGGAAGCUGGGAGCAGAGGUCUCUUCUCCAUGCUUCAGAGGAGAGUCAGCAGCCUCAGAAGACACCAGGACUGUCAAACUGAUAUACAUCAAAGCUAUGGGCCAAGACACCUCCCUCCUAGAAAAUAACUUCAUAGAUGACCUCCUGGAAGAGGACCUAGAUGACAUCUAUGACAGCAUCCACUACAGCCCUGAUGACGAGGAAUCUAUCACAGACUGAAGGUGUUUGUUUGAGUGGGUGCAGUUUGCACUGGGUGAAAAGAGAGCACACAUGCAAAACAAAUGGAAUCAAUCUGCCUUCCUAAGGAAAAAUUGUUUGAUCAUUUUAUGGAAAAUAAACGUUGAUGUUUCCUCCUUGUUGACACUGUGAUCAUGUGGCACAGAUUUGAGAAGGGCGCUAUUACUGAUUUUGCCCGGUUACAUGACCAGGUCCGAUGCACCCCUUUAAAUGGACAAUCUGCAGUUGCUACAUCCACUUUUGGAUGCUUGAAGAAUAUAAUUUAUAAAUGCCUCAUGAAUACAGUUCACCUGCCGUACCCCAUCAGAUCCCAAAAUAUAUAUAUAUUUUUUCUGCUUGAAUGUUUGUAAACAAAGUAAAUGUAAACAUACACUAGCAUGUGUCAAAAUAAUUCCACGGGUGAGCUGGGUGUCUGUGGGUUUUCGCAACUCCCAUAAUUGAUGAAUUAAGGUCACUAAUUAGUAAGGAACUCCCCUCACCUGCUUGUCUAGGUCUUAAUUGAAAGAAAAAGAAAAAAAAACAGCAGACACUAGGCUCUCCAUGGAAUGAGAUUGACACCACUGGACUGUAACAUCGAAACAUGGUGUAAACUAUGGUUACAUUUCUCCAGCCCCAUCCCUCUGCUUUUUACAGAACCAUUGGCGGGGAGAACGAUUUAUUGUUUCACCUGGUGAUUUCCGAUUGAAACAUUAAACUGUAAUGUACUGUGCUUGUGUGUGCUUAUUAGUUUAGUUAAUAAAAAACGAAAAAAGGUUA